UGGGUGAUGUUGUUGGACGGGCUUCGUCGCGGAUGUUCUCGUCGGCAGGGCGGCGCUGCUUGGGGGAGGUGAGAGGAGUGGUGGGCUGGGAUUGGGCCUUGAUAGGGAAGUGGGUGGGCCUGGGCCUGGGGGGUUGGUGGGUUUUGAGGGGAAAAGGGGAAGAUGCGUGGAAGAGGGAGGUAGAAGAAGCAGCAGCCAUUGAGGGAUUUAGAAUGUGAAAGAUGAGAAAGCAGCUCUGAAUCUAAACGCUUUAAAUACUGUUUGCGAUCCGCCGCCGUGAUUCCACUCUCACUGGAUCACUGCCAACUUGCCUUUCACACUGUCGUUUCUUCUUUAUGUUUUGCCAACUGCACUUGACUACUUAGGCCCA
rnacentral:lncRNA from 1 species